rnacentral:tRNA from 1 species
UGAAAGUUAGUUUAAAAAAAUACUUGAUUUCGGCUCAAGAGACUCUCAGUGCAAACCCGAGACUUUCAU